rnacentral:rRNA from 1 species
CCCUUAGAUGUCCGGGGCUGCACGCGCGCUACACUGUAGAAAGCAGCGUGCUUUAAAACCUUUCCUGAAAAGGAUGGGUAACCCCAGCAAAAUUCUACGUGCUUGGGAUAGAGAUUUGCAAUUUUCUCUCUUGAACGAGGAAUUCCCAGUAAGUGCGAGUCAUCAGCUCGCGUUGAUUACGUCCCUGCCCUUGUACACACCGCCCGUCGCUACUACCGAUUGGGAAAAUUUUAGAGAGUCCUGGACUGAUGAUUGUUCGGCUUCACGGCCUUACUUUCGUCGGGAAAGAAUUCGAUAAUAUUUUUCUAGAGGAAGUAAAAGUCGUAACA